AUAAUUACUCCAUACAGCAUUUGUCGCUGUGUGUGCAUUAAAUCCCAGUGAUGAAAAUCAAUAGUCAAGAUUACUGUACAUGGGGCCAACAUUCUUUUUAAUCCCAUUUAGUUAUAUUAUUCAUUGCAUCCACACUAUUGAGCCAAAUGAUGAUUAUGAUGAAAAAAGUUGGGAGGUAGAACUAAGAGUUCCCUUAAAAACAAAGCUGUAUUUUGUAACCUGGAACUGAUUUUGUCUAGUUUUGUCAUUUUUUGGUCAGUAAGCAACAAGUUAUUCCCUUGUUAGUUAGCUACAAUCCCUCUUCUUCACACUUUAAUUUGAUCUCUCCCUUCCUUGCUCUCUGACAGGGUAGAGAGAGAUAGAGAACAUGUAUAUAUAUAUAUGUGUGUGUGUGUACAAAUAUAUGCAUCAGAAACGAGGGAGAGUUGUUGAUGAGUGAUGAGUAGGAAUUAGUGGGGGGAUGAGGUAGGAAAGAAAAGACUGAUGGGGGAUGAUGAAGAUUUGUUUCAUCAGUAACGAGGGAGGAGGAAAGAAUAACUAUGAUGAUUCUUUGAUCCUUUCCUUCUAAAUAUGCCCAAAGGAAUGAACCAUCCCAUCCCAUCCCUCUCUCUCUCUCUCUCUCUCUCUCUCUCUCUCUCCCCUUCCUGAGUCCAUUAUUAUCUCUCUCUUCUAUAUCUAAUUAAUUACACCCACACCAUCCAAUUAAAACCUUCUCUCUGUCUCUCUCCUAUUUACUGUACAAGCCAUCUCAUAUCUUAAAUAGAACCAACUGCCCCUCUCCUUUUUGCAAUCUCUCAUGUUUGUUACUGGGUCUCUCUCUCUCUCUCUCUCUCUCAGUGUGUAAAUGUCUUUCAAAGGUUUCAGUACAAGGAUGCUUUUCUAUUUCAUGGUGGUUUAACAAAGGGUUUCUCACAGAGUUUCUUGGCAUUCUGUCCACCUCCUAUAACAUAUAUACAUAUAUAUAUAUACCUACCUCUCUCUCUCUCAUAUAUAUGGAGGUGGGCAUACUGCCAACUGAGCUCUGUUGGUAUCUCUUUGUAAAAACCCUCGUGAUUUCUCCAAAAACGGCCGUCAUGUUUCACUCGCUUGUUGUAUACAUCAUAAGGAUGAAGGGUUUUGAUUGCUUGUGUGCCUAACCCAUCUAUUUCUGGAGUGACAAAGCAACACAUCAAACACAAAAGUCUAUUUUAUUUCUUUUUCUUUGAUGUUUACUGGCUGUACAUGUGACUGCAAAUUCUGAACCCUAGCUCAUAUAUACCUACAUAUUUUUAUUUUUAUUUUUUAAAAAAAAAAUUAAAAAAUUCGUCUGGAUCUAUCAGAAGAAUUACUUGAUUUUGCUUUCCGUCCCCUUUUUUCACAUUAACAGUACCGUGGGUUUUCUUCUCUGUAAUGAUCCAAAGUUUGUCCUAUUUACCGUCGUGUGUUCUCUCUGUAAUGAUCCAAAGUUUGUCUUGUAUAUAUAUAGACUCUCUUUCUUUUAA